rnacentral:tRNA from 1 species
GCGCCUGUAGCUCAGUUGGAUAGAGCGUCGGUCUACGAAACCGAAGGUCACAGGUUCGAAUCCUGUCAGGCGCG